AAACAACUUAUAAAAGAACAUGGUUUACCACGUAAUACGACAGGUGGCGGAUCAGUGUACACGAGAUGGGGGAGAACUAAGUGUGGUGCCUCUUCUAAACUUCUUUAUGAAGGUUAUACUGCUGGAUCCUACUAUGGUCAGAAAGGUGGGG